UGUCAGCUUCCGCACCCUUGUCAAGACCUGUAAAAGGGACGUUAUGAAGCAGCAAGACAAAUGUGAAUUUCAUCUUUUGACUCUUCUUCCUAGAGGAAGACAGGAGCAAGAAAUGGGUCAGGUCCGGCUUGAUCGAGCAACAGAAGGAAGAGUUACAAACAGGGAGAGGACAGGGAAAGGGGCACCAGACACAGCCAGGAAAAUUUAGAACAAAAGAUUCAGAGGCAGGGAAAGAAACCUGUACCCGAGAAAGGAGGAGAAAGUGGAGAUUGGAAAAGAAAUAUAGCUGUUGGCAGUGACAGGUUCCACUCAAACACAGCUUGGGAGUCAGCUACUGGUAGGACACCAAAUAGCCCCAGAUGUGCUGGUUCAAGGGGAGGUGCAGAAAAACCUCCUCCUGGCCUCCAAGUCACUGUGGGCAACAAUUGUCCUCCAAAACCACAGCCCUGCUGGAGCCAAAGAAAGCAGAUCCUACUCCGGAGGUUUCAAGGCCAAGCUGGAAGGAGGUUCAGCAGCUCACAGUGCACACAGAAUCAAAAACAAUCUUUGGAACCAGCCAGAUGCUAAUUAAACCAAAGCAGUGCUGGAGAUGCCAAUGUGUGCCGACAGGGGUCUCAGAGCGCAAACACCUUUCAGCGAUUCAGCGAAUAGCACACCUAGGAGGACCUGCUAGUUUUCAGUGA
rnacentral:lncRNA from 1 species